rnacentral:lncRNA from 1 species
AACUAGGAAAAACUUUAAAUAUCUUUCAUGUGGUUUCGCACUUUCUCUCUUUAGUACCAUGUGGUUUAAAAUGUAUCAAGUUAGUAUCCUGCGGUUUCGCAUUUUCUCACUUUAGUACCCUAUGGUUUAAUAUUUCGUUAAAUUAUAUACAAAAAACUUCAGAUAUCCUACAUAGGUUUAUCAAAUAUUAAUUUUAGUACCCUUUAGUUUUAAAUUUGUCACUGAUUUAACAAAAAAAUAUCUCGAAAUGGAUAAUAAAAAGAGAAAAAUAAAACCACAUGAUACUAACUUGAUACAAAAAUAAAAUCACAGAGUAGUAACUUGAUAUACGUUAAACCGCAGGGUACUAAAAUGAGAAAGUGAGAAACUGCAGCAUACUAACUUGAUACACUUUAAACCAUAGAAUAUUAAAAUGAAAAAAUACGAACCCACGGAGAGAUAUUUGAAGUUUUCCGUGAAAACUAAUACAUCAAAUAUAUUUUGUACGCCCGAGCCAAUCGUAACUAAUUUCUAACAUGAAUUUAAUUUUUUUCAAAGUUCUGCAUGGUACAAUUCAAUUAUAACCAUCUUGGUUUUUUAUUAUUGCCAACGUGGCACCACUCUCCGUACAUGCACGGAGAUUUUUUAAUUCGAAAGUGUCCUUGUGCAUGUACAGCUAAAGCUGAGCUGGAUGGUAGCUAGAUACUCAUGUGUUCUCACCGUCUCUACAGCACGCGGCAACUGACAAAGGACUUGGUGGUUGAUGAUACUCACGUGUUCUGACCGUCUCUACAGCAAGUGGCAACUGGCAAAGGACUUGGUGGUUGGUAUGCGAGAUUCUAAAUUCGAAUCCUAAUUAAUUCACAUUUUCAGCUAAGUUUAUUUCUAAAUAAAAUAAACGAAAUGAAUAGCAUGCUACCUAUCUCUCUCAAAAAAAGAAGAAAAGAUACUGAUGUGUUCUCAUAAUAUAUAUUGACCGUCUCUACAGCACGCGGCAACUGACAAAGGACUUGGUGGUUGAUACUCAUGUGUUUUGACCGUCUCUACAGCAAGUGGCAACUGGCAAAGGACUUGGCGGUUGGUAUGCGAGAUUCUAAAUUNUAUACCACCCAUCAAAUUUGAUGGAUCCUAAUAGCACAGUAGCCCUACUCUAUAUAUAUAUAAGUGAGAGAGAGAUAUAUAAGUUUAAUUUGGUAUUAAGAAUUAUCUGACGCUAUUAAAUAAAAUAAAGUUGAGAUAAAAAUAUGUAGAGAUAUAUUUCUACGUUCUUCGGUCGGACCAUAGAAAAUAUAUAAUAACCGACUCAUCGCAAUAUCCGAAAGGCAAAAUUACGCACGGAAAUAAACAUAAUAUUUUUCCAACGUAUUUUCUCACUGUACGUAAUGCAAUUUUUCCAUAAUGUCAAAUGAAGCUAUAGAGAGAUAUGUACAAAAUAAAAAAAAAGAGUCUAAAAUAUACCAGUUAUAUUACAGAUGUGACAGAUGUGACAUUUUCAACCAAGCAUAUUCUUGUCUCAUUAUGAUUAUUAAAAAAAUAUUUUUAUUGUACUUUAUUUUUUAAAUAGAGAGAUGUGAUUGACUGGUUAUUAAUAAUGUGGUGUAAGUUAUUACAUAGUAAAUU